rnacentral:miRNA from 1 species
AAGGUUUCUUGCUUUGAUACCGUAUUAGAUAAAGCA